rnacentral:rRNA from 1 species
GAACGGGUGAGUAACACGUGGGAAACCUACCUCUUAGCAGGGGAUAACAUUUGGAAACAGAUGCUAAUACCGUAUAACAAUGACAACCGCAUGGUUGUUAUUUAAAAGAUGGUUCUGCUAUCACUAAGAGAUGGUCCCGCGGUGCAUUAGCUAGUUGGUAAGGUAAUGGCUUACCAAGGCGAUGAUGCAUAGCCGAGUUGAGAGACUGAUCGGCCACAAUGGGACUGAGACACGGCCCAUACUCCUACGGGAGGCAGCAGUAGGGAAUCUUCCACAAUGGGCGAAAGCCUGAUGGAGCAACGCCGCGUGUGUGAUGAAGGGUUUCGGCUCGUAAAACACUGUUGUAAGAGAAGAAUGACAUUGAGAGUAACUGUUCAAUGUGUGACGGUAUCUUACCAGAAAGGAACGGCUAAAUACGUGCCAGCAGCCGCGGUAAUACGUAUGUUCCAAGCGUUAUCCGGAUUUAUUGGGCGUAAAGCGAGCGCAGACGGUUAUUUAAGUCUGAAGUGAAAGCCCUCAGCUCAACUGAGGAAUUGCUUUGGAAACUGGAUGACUUGAGUGCAGUAGAGGAAAGUGGAACUCCAUGUGUAGCGGUGAAAUGCGUAGAUAUAUGGAAGAACACCAGUGGCGAAAGCGGCUUUCUGGACUGUAACUGACGUUGAGGCUCGAAAGUGUGGGUAGCAAACAGGAUUAGAUACCCUGGUAGUCCACACCGUAACGAUGAGUGCUAGUGUUUGAGGGUUUCCGCCCUUAAGUGCCGCAG